rnacentral:lncRNA from 1 species
AUAAACUUUCAAACCAACAACCUUCCGGACCCACAAAUUUCAUAAACUUUCAAACCGCUAAACUUUCAAAACCGUGGAAUUUUGAACCUAUAAAUUUAUAAUUCCUAAAUCCGUAAACUUAAGGUAAAUUUUUUUUUUUUUUUUGCGGGGGAAGGGGGGGUAGUAGGGUGGAUGGUAACGGAAGGGUGGGGAAGGUUGAGAAAGAGCUUUGGAAAAUAUUUUUCCUUCUCUUGAUAAGUAAAAUAUUUUUCUCCAAUUGGAGGAAAAUGAAAUUGAUAAGGAAAAAUAUUUUCCAAAAUAUUUAAGGCAACCAAACAUAGAAAAAUUUGAAAAACAUUUUUCGGAAAAUAUUUUCCUUCGUACCAAACACACUAUACGUGUCUGUAAGUGUUUUCCCCCUCUAUUUUAGCGCUUUCUUCAACCAAUUUAUCACCUUCUUAGUUCUCGCAUCUCUACUGAAUAAGUGUGAUUUGAGAUUUAAUUCAAAUUGCGAUGGUAUUUUCUUGUUCCAGAAUAGUUUUGUUUCAUAUUUUUUAAUUGGUGUAAUGGCUUCUUGGCCACUCAAACUUGCUGCCGAUUUUAAAGUUCAUACAUGAACUUUAAACUUUCCCAUCACUCGAACUCAUAAUUUCUUUAAUUAAUAAACACAUUUGACCAUUGACAUGCCCAUGUAGCAUCGAUUUAUCAUCAACCUGCUGCCUGAUAAACACGAUGUACAGGAGCGUGAAAGCCCUCUUCUCAACCCCAACAGUCCAAAAUGGGUUGUAUAUGCAUAGAAAUAUGUACCAACUAACAAAGCUGAUAAGAAUGGAUCUUGGGCCUAACUCAACCCCAAAAGCUAGCUUAUGAGGUGAGGAUUGCCCAAGCCAUAUAAGGAGACCAAGGACCUCAAAUCCCUCCGACGUGGGACAACUCAACAAAAGCCUCGGUGCAUAGUGCAUUUUUUGCCCACUGAUCAGUUUUUCAUUGUAUCAUUAACUAAGAAAUCUUGUUUUUUCGUUAUAUUUCCAUAAAUUUUUCGUUAUACCAGAAGCUGGUUGCAAUUUGGCGUGGUCUCAAGUUCAUUCUCGUGUCUAGGGUUUCAAAUUCAAUCUUUUAUCCUGGUCUCCACGAAUUACAAUGGGUUAACUGCAACAGCAGUUAUAUCUGUCACGUCAAAAAUUCUGCACCACAUUUUCUUUCUGGUAUGACUCAAUUCGUUUUUUCAACCAUAUGCAAUUAUUACCUGGGCUCUUUGCUCCUUUUAAGCUUGAAAUGAGCACCUCCAAAGUUUUUUGCGUCCAUCCCAAAUGCCAAAUGAGGAAUCAGAUUCAGAAGGUAGGACAAAGAGAUUUAGACAUUUUGUGUAAUUCGUGGUAGUUCUUGGGGUGAAGAAUGAAGGCACCGGCCUCGAAUGUCUCGCCGGAAAUAGUCAUUGUUGCCAUGCGCCCUCUGACGGCAUCGUGCCGCUCGAAGAUUCUGAUUGUGCCGAUUUCGGAGUUUGAAUAGCUCCACGAGAAGUGCGCUAUACAGGAGCCGCCGAUUCCGCAGGCGAUAAUGCAGACAGGAGGAGAUGAUUCCGUGGAGAUGAGUACAAGAGAUAAAACGACAAAGGUUGUGUGGAGAUUCUUCGUCAUUUCGUUUUAUUAAUUAAUGGAGCUUCUUAUAGCCUCUUUGUUUAAUCUUCUAAUUAAUAACGAAGAAAAAGAGAAAGGAGAAGAAAGAAUAGUAAAGAAAGGAAGGAAGAAGGGUGAACCAAAGAGAAGGGAGGGGCAUCUUUUCUUUUCUUUUUUUUUUUUUUUUUUUUUUUUUAAUUUUUUUUUUUNNNNNNNNNNNNNNNNNNNNNNNNNNNNNNNNNNNNNNNNNNNNNNNNNNNNNNNNNNNNNNNNNNNUUUUUUUUUUUUUUUUUUUAUUUGUAACUUUCUUUUCUGAUUUUAUAUUUAAAAAUAGGACCCACAAAUGACAUAUGGCAAGUUAUAAAUAGCUUAGCAUGAUGUGUGGUACAUGUCAGCGCAACUUGUGGAUGUGUUUAUUAGUACUCGUUUGUCAAGUUUAAGUGUUCAGAUGGAAAAAUUCAAAGUUUGUAUAUCAACUUUAAAAUCGACUGCAAAUUUGAGUGGCCGGGAAGCCAUUUCGUCUUUUUAAUUUAUGCGUUACUCCUGACAAAUAAUAAGUCAUUUUAUGAUGUUAUUACCAAAAUAUGUUUUCUCACUUGUGAGUGAAAGUUAUUUUUCUUAAACUGUGUUAACUUUUUUUAAUUUCACGUUACUUGCUCCUACUUCACAUAAAAGAAAGCCCAAUUUUAUUAUCUGAGAAUAAACGGCAGUUAGAGUAAAAAUACGGGCUAGUCAGUUUUCGGACUGGUCAUUUAAAAAUAGUCAGUAUUUGUAAAGUCAUUAAAAAUAAUUAUUAUUUUGUUGCAACACAGAAAGGUCGAGCAUAAUAUACAAACCGUAUGAGCAGAUACCUAGUCAACGACUCAACUUGAGGAUGUUAUGGUUUUCCUUCCAUUCGAAGCUCUGCUGCUUUGAAUAUCCCUAUUUAAAAUUAUUUCAGUGAAAGGGAACCUCCGCCUCUGAAAAUCGUUCUUUAUGUAUUAGUAUGUCAAUUCAUAAUUCAACUUGGACAAGCCUUCGAUUGUUAAUUAAAGAUAACAUCAAAUACAAAACUAUCUUUAAGGUAGAGAAAUUUUAUAACUUUCAACAUGAAGACAAUGGCUUAGACAGAAAGAUUAGUAUCUUCAUGUCAAAUUGGCAACCGCAGUGAAAUGAAGCUGAAACUCUUAUUAAAUUAACGUGAAUUUUAGUUUUGGAUUUUGGUUUUGUUUCAAAAAAAAAAUUAAAAUUCAAACUCACUUUUUUAAUUCAAAUGCCGCUGGUUGUGAUUCAUAGUUCAGGACUGAGUAAAAUGUAUUGUCCUGUACUAAGUUCAAACUUAAGGCGUGGGACUAAAUAUCUCCAUUUCAAUUUACAUGAACUUAUUUGAUUCAUCACAUUUGUGUCGCUAUAAAAACUUCUCAUUUAACUUUUUUUUUCUUUCUAAAUGUGAAUCGACAUUUGUAGGCACGGGCGGUGUGGAAACUAAUCCAUGUUUUAUUUAUUAAAGUGAUUUUUACAUAUAUAUACCAUAUAGCGAACCUUAUUAUCUCCCAUGUUUAAGGUUUGUGUUUAUUACAUUUAAGCAUACCAAAUUUCAAUUUAUGUACCAUAAUUCA